rnacentral:rRNA from 1 species
UAACCUGCGGAGGGAUCAUUACACAAAUAUGAAGGCGGGCUGGAACCUCUCGGGGUUACAGCCUUGCUGAAUUAUUCACCCUUGUCUUUUGCGUACUUCUUGUUUCCUUGGUGGGUUCGCCCACCACUAGGACAAACAUAAACCUUUUGUAAUUGCAAUCAGCGUCAGUAACAAAUUAAUAAUUACAACUUUCAACAACGGAUCUCUUGGUUCUGGCAUCGAUGAAGAACGCAGCGAAAUGCGAUAAGUAGUGUGAAUUGCAGAAUUCAGUGAAUCAUCGAAUCUUUGAACGCACAUUGCGCCCUUUGGUAUUCCAAAGGGCAUGCCUGUUCGAGCGUCAUUUGUACCCUCAAGCUUUGCUUGGUGUUGGGCGUCUUGUCUCUAGCUUUGCUGGAGACUCGCCUUAAAGUAAUUGGCAGCCGGCCUACUGGUUUCGGAGCGCAGCACAAGUCGCACUCUCUAUCAGCAAAGGUCUAGCAUCCAUUAAGCCUUUUUUUCAACUUUGACCUCGGAUCAGGUAGGACCCCGCCCCC